rnacentral:ribozyme from 1 species
AGAUCACAAGAUCGUGGCCAGCGCAGAAACGUUCACAGUGUGGCCCUGUCAGAUUCCAACAGAUCUGUGAAUUCUCCU